rnacentral:rRNA from 1 species
AUUGGACGCUGGCGGCAGGCCUAACACAUGCAAGUCGAACGGUAACAGGAAGAAGCUUGCUUCUUUGCUGACGAGUGGCGGACGGGUGAGUAAUGUCUGGGAAACUGCCUGAUGGAGGGGGAUAACUACUGGAAACGGUAGCUAAUACCGCAUAACGUCGCAAGACCAAAGAGGGGGACCUUCGGGCCUCUUGCCAUCGUAUGUGCCCAGAUGGGAUUAGCUAGUAGGUGGGGUAACGGCUCACCUAGGCGACGAUCCCUAGCUGGUCUGAGAGGAUGACCAGCCACACUGGAACUGAGACACGGUCCAGACUCCUACGGGAGGCAGCAGUGGGGAAUAUUGCACAAUGGGCGCAAGCCUGAUGCAGCCAUGCCGCGUGUAUGAAGAAGGCCUUCGGGUUGUAAAGUACUUUCAGCGGGGAGGAAGGGAGUAAAGUUAAUACCUUUGCUCAUUGACGUUACCCGCAGAAGAAGCACCGGCUAACUCCGUG